CAAGACCUGCGCUUUUGGAGCGGCCGAUGCCUGAUUAGCUUGUUGGUAAGGUAAAAGCUUACCAAGGCUUCGAUCAGUAGCUGGUCUGAGAGGACGACCAGCCACACUGGGACUGAGACACGGCCCAGACUCCUACGGGAGGCAGCAGUGGGGAAUUUUGGACAAUGGGGGCAACCCUGAUCCAGCCAUGCCGCGUGAGUGAAGAAGGCCUUCGGGUUGUAAAGCUCUUUCAGCCGGAACGAAACGGUUACGGUUAACACCCGUGACUACUGACGGUACCGGAAGAAGAAGCACCGGCUAACUACGUGCCAGCAGCCGCGGUAAUACGUAGGGUGCGAGCGUUAAUCGGAAUUACUGGGCGUAAAGCGUGCGCAGGUGGUUUUGUAAGUCAGAUGUGAAAUCCCCGGGCUUAACCUGGGAACU
rnacentral:rRNA from 1 species